rnacentral:rRNA from 1 species
UCGUCAGCUCGUGUCGUGAGAUGUUGGGUUAAGUCCCGCAACGAGCGCAACCCCUAUUGUUAGUUGCCAUCAUUAAGUUGGGCACUCUAGCGAGACUGCCGGUAAUAAACCGGAGGAAGGUGGGGAUGACGUCAAAUCAUCAUGCCCCUUAUGACCUGGGCUACACACGUGCUACAAUGGUUGGUACAACGAGUCGCAAGCCGGUGACGGCAAGCUAAUCUCUUAAAGCCAAUCUCAGUUCGGAUUGUAGGCUGCAACUCGCCUACAUGAAGUCGGAAUCGCUAGUAAUCGCGGAUCAGCACGCCGCGGUGAAUACGUUCCCGGGCCUU